AGUCRACGYURAGWUCMGWUUGCUGGGUGAUGAGUGCGAACGGURAGUACACGUGAGUACCUUCCUUGACUCUGGGAUAAGCCCGGGAAACUGGGUCUAAUACCGGAUAUGACCUCCUAUCGCAUGGUGGGGGUGGAAAGAUUUAUCGGUCUUGGAUGGACUCGCGGCCUAUCAGCUUGUUGGUGAGGUAAUGGCUCACCAAGGCGACGACGGGUAGCCGGCCUGAGAGGGUGACCGGCCACACUGGGACUGAGACACGGCCCAGACUCUACGGGAGGCAGCAGUGGGGAAUAUUGCACAAUGGGCGCAAGCCUGAUGCAGCGACGCCGCGUGAGGGAUGACGGCUUCGGGUUGUAAACCUCUUUCAGUAGGGAAGAAGCUUCGGGUGACGGUACCUGCAGAAGAAGCGCCGGCUAACUACGUGCCAGCAGCCGCGGUAAUACGUAGGGCGCGAGCGUUAUCCGGAAUUAUUGGGCGUAAAGAGCUCGUAGGCGGUUUGUCGCGUCUGCCGUGAAAGUCCGGGGCUUAACCCCGGAUCUGCGGUGGGUACGGGCAGACUAGAGUGCAGUAGGGGAGACCGGAAUUCCUGGUGUAGCGGUGAAAUGCGCAGAUAUCAGGAGGAACACCGAUGGCGAAGGCAGGUCUCUGGGCUGUUACUGACGCUGAGGAGCGAAAGCAUGGGGAGCGAACAGGAUUAGAUACCCUGGUAGUCCAUGCCGUAAACGUUGGGCACUAGGUGUGGGGGACAUUCCACGUUUUCCGCGCCG
rnacentral:rRNA from 1 species